GUUCAGAGCUAUCUAGUUUGUCUUUUCAGGAAAGCUUGGGACACUGGAAAGUAAUUACAUGAUGUCUGUGCAGAUCCAUAGGAGUUUUGGCAUUGGGAGGAGAGCACUGAUAUGCAGUCUGGUCACUCAUUCACACUCAAUGAGCUGGGCCUUCAUUCGACCUUCUGUUUUCAGCUUUGAUCUCUAUGUCUUGGCUGCUCUUGUGUGAUCUCUGGGCUUUGAAAGGAUUUCUAUGUGCAAGGCAGAAAGGUGGUGGGAGGCGGCUGGACCAGGAGGCUUGUGCAGCCAGCUACAGUGACCUCCUGGCUGUUCCUGCAGCUGCAGAACGGAUGAGAAGGUGUCUCAGCGGGUGGAACCGUUUAAUGUGUGCACAUGGGAAGAGCAAACGCCUUGUUCGCACCUCUGCUCCAGGUGACAUCCACCAUACUGUUACCCACAGAAGAACUGUGUCUGCAGUCAGCACCUGCACACGCCACAGCAUCCUCACCCACACACCGCCGGGUGGGAAAAGUUCCUCAGCCUCCCCUGGCUUUAAAAGAACGCAAACCGACCGAGCCGGGAGGAGGCAGGCCCGGGG
rnacentral:lncRNA from 12 species